rnacentral:rRNA from 1 species
UAGUAUGGGGAUCUGCCCGAUAGAGGGGAAUAACUACUGGAAACGGUGGCUAAUACCGCAUAAUGUCUACAGACCAAAGCAGGGGCUCUUCGGACCUUGCACUAUCGGAUGAACCCAUAUGGGAUUAGCUAGUAGGUGGGGUAAAGGCUCACCUAGGCGACGAUCUCUAGCUGGUCUGAGAGGAUGAUCAGCCACACUGGGACUGAGACACGGCCCAG